rnacentral:rRNA from 1 species
GACAGAGGGUGCAACCGUUGUUCGGAAUUACUGGGCGUAAAGCGCAUGUAGGCGGUUCGUAAAGUCAGAUGUGAAAGCCCUGGGCUUAACCCAGGAAGUGCAUUUGAAACUCACGAACUUGAGUCCCGGAGAGGAAGGCGGAAUUCUCGGUGUAGAGGUGAAAUUCGUAGAUAUCGAGAGGAACACCUGCGGCGAAGGCGGGUUGCUGGGCUGACGCUGACGCUGAUGCGCGAAAGCCAGGGGAGCGAACGGG